UAAGUACUUCCUCCGUCCCAAAUUUUUUUUCUUAGAUUUGUCUAUAUAUGAAUGUAUCUAGUCACAUUUUAGUAUGUAGAUACAUACAUUUCUAGACAAACUUAAGACAAUAAUUUUGGGACGGAGGAAGUACUUA
rnacentral:pre_miRNA from 1 species